rnacentral:rRNA from 2 species
UGCGGCGUGCUAUACAUGCAGUCGAGCGGACAGAUGGGAGCUUGCUCCCUGAUGUUAGCGGCGGACGGGUGAGUAACACGUGGGUAACCUGCCUGUAAGACUGGGAUAACUCCGGGAAACCGGGGCUAAUACCGGAUGGUUGUUUGAACCGCAUGGUUCAAACAUAAAAGGUGGCUUCGGCUACCACUUACAGAUGGACCCGCGGCGCAUUAGCUAGUUGGUGAGGUAACGGCUCACCAAGGCAACGAUGCGUAGCCGACCUGAGAGGGUGAUCGGCCACACUGGGACUGAGACACGGCCCAGACUCCUACGGGAGGCAGCAGUAGGGAAUCUUCCGCAAUGGACGAAAGUCUGACGGAGCAACGCCGCGUGAGUGAUGAAGGUUUUCGGAUCGUAAAGCUCUGUUGUUAGGGAAGAACAAGUACCGUUCGAAUAGGGCGGUACCUUGACGGUACCUAACCAGAAAGCCACGGCUAACUACGUGCCAGCAGCCGCGGUAAUACGUAGGUGGCAAGCGUUGUCCGGAAUUAUUGGGCGUAAAGGGCUCGCAGGCGGUUUCUUAAGUCUGAUGUGAAAGCCCCCGGCUCAACCGGGGAGGGUCAUUGGAAACUGGGGAACUUGAGUGCAGAAGAGGAGAGUGGAAUUCCACGUGUAGCGGUGAAAUGCGUAGAGAUGUGGAGGAACACCAGUGGCGAAGGCGACUCUCUGGUCUGUAACUGACGCUGAGGAGCGAAAGCGUGGGGAGCGAACAGGAUUAGAUACCCUGGUAGUCCACGCCGUAAACGAUGAGUGCUAAGUGUUAGGGGGUUUCCGCCCCUUAGUGCUGCAGCUAACGCAUUAAGCACUCCGCCUGGGGAGUACGGUCGCAAGACUGAAACUCAAAGGAAUUGACGGGGGCCCGCACAAGCGGUGGAGCAUGUGGUUUAAUUCGAAGCAACGCGAAGAACCUUACCAGGUCUUGACAUCCUCUGACAAUCCUAGAGAUAGGACGUCCCCUUCGGGGGCAGAGUGACAGGUGGUGCAUGGUUGUCGUCAGCUCGUGUCGUGAGAUGUUGGGUUAAGUCCCGCAACGAGCGCAACCCUUGAUCUUAGUUGCCAGCAUUCAGUUGGGCACUCUAAGGUGACUGCCGGUGACAAACCGGAGGAAGGUGGGGAUGACGUCAAAUCAUCAUGCCCCUUAUGACCUGGGCUACACACGUGCUACAAUGGACAGAACAAAGGGCAGCGAAACCGCGAGGUUAAGCCAAUCCCACAAAUCUGUUCUCAGUUCGGAUCGCAGUCUGCAACUCGACUGCGUGAAGCUGGAAUCGCUAGUAAUCGCGGAUCAGCAUGCCGCG